rnacentral:rRNA from 1 species
AUUGAACGCUGGCGGCAGGCCUAACACAUGCAAGUCGAACGGUAACAGGAAGAAGCUUGCUUCUUUGCUGACGAGUGGCGGACGGGUGAGUAAUGUCUGGGAAACUGCCUGAUGGAGGGGGAUAACUACUGGAAACGGUAGCUAAUACCGCAUAACGUCGCAAGACCAAAGAGGGGGACCUUCGGGCCUCUUGCCAUCGUAUGUGCCCAGAUGGGAUUAGCUAGUAGGUGGGGUAACGGCUCACCUAGGCGACGAUCCCUAGCUGGUCUGAGAGGAUGACCAGCCACACUGGAACUGAGACACGGUCCAGACUCCUACGGGAGGCAGCAGUGGGGAAUAUUGGACAAUGGGCGCAAGCCUGAUGCAGCCAUGCCGCGUGUAUGAAGAAGGCCUUCGGGUUGUAAAGUACUUUCAGCGGGGAGGAAGGGAGUAAAGUUAAUACCUUGGCUCAUUGACGUUACCCGCAGAAGAAGCACCGGCUAACUCCGUG